GGCCGGAGCGUGAAGAUAUGAUUAAAUGCGGCCAGUCCUUGACAUUCAGAAUAUAUAGGUAUGUUACCUCUUAUAAUGUGUGCACAUGGCAUAUUUUAGCUUUACAGUGCAAUUGGUGGCAGUUCCAAAAGCCACCAUGUAAAGAAAAUGGGAUUUUUCUGUGACGUUGGGGAAAACGAAAAAAAAAAGAAAAAAGAUGUUACACCUCUCAGCUAAACAGGCAUAGAAUAAGAGCAAUUUCUUCUCGCGGAUUCUACUGUUACAUUUCGUCUCGGCUCCGGUUGGCAGGAGGUUCUCAUACCAUCCUUCUUAAAUUUCUUCUAUAGCCAUGAAAGUAAUGGGAGAUGUUAUUUUUUGACACUCUGAGAAAACGGGAGGGAGCUGGUGUUGGCCCAACAAUGUCUUGGGAUUCUUUCCAGGGCAUUGGUCGCCCUCUUCUGGCCAAAGGACGCACUGCUCAACUUCUCCUUGUCAGCAAUAACUUACAACAUCAAAUCUUCCUGGUCACGGGAAACGCGGAUCAAUGUUUUUCCAAGAGGAAUCCCACAUCUUAAACCAGCCAGAGACCUCCAGGAGGACCCGACUAAGGCCGAAACAAAAAGAAAAAACAAACAACAAAAAAAAAACAUGCCUGGAAACCUCGCUACACUGCAUUCCUCACCAAAAAGCACAGUGAGUCAGUCUGAAUAGGCAAGAAAUUUGCCUCAAUCUGUGCAGUUUAUAAAAGUGUCGGCUUUUCUAAACUGGAGCUGUUUGCCCGUGGAUCAUCCGUUAGACGGCAAAGGCUCGUGGGACUGUGAUGAUGUGAGGAUGUUUUUAUGGUGGUCCCUCAGAACGUGACAAAAGAAGCCCAGCACUGUGUCCUCAAAAAUGAAUCAAGAUUUAAUUUAAGUGUCAUUAAAACGUUUAUGCUUCGAUUUUGUGCCUCAUCUUACACGUAAAAAAGCAGCAGGUUAUCAGUCACAAUCAUAGAACAUACAACACGUGGCUUUAUCCAUUAUAUAUAUAUUUAUAUAUAUAUACUGUAUUUCUUUUUAAUUAUAUUUUCAACUUUUGAUAUCCUAUAAAUAUUCCUGAGGUGGCUUAUAUAUAUAUAGAUAUAUCUUCUCAACCACUUCCUAAGAAGAAACCCCAUAAAAAAAAUAAUAAAAGAUCUCAAGCGAAUUUUGGUUUUCAUGGACAGAAGAUGGUUCGUGUCUCUCGUCCGUCUCUCGUGUCUGGCGGCAUGCUGCGUAAAUCAAAAUAGCUAUACAAAUUAAAACUCUGAAUUAUUUUUCCCAACCCUUACAAUUUUAUAGCCGUGACUGGCCUGAACUACUAGAUGUAAAUGUGGUCAGCUACUGGGUUUCUGUGCUUUCUGGUGGGACAGUUUGCUUUUCUGGUAUUUCUGUACAAUUAAAUACAGGUUUCCCAUAGUACUCCCCGGUAAAGUCUGCACUUAUCCUGGACUAACCCUGUGGCUUUUGUAAAAUAAGACCGUACUCUCCUAUAAAGUGUAGAGAAAGCUGAAAGUUAAGGUUCGCUUUGUAAAAAAACGUCCUCGCUGCAACUUCCUCGCUGUCUUUUCAAUCUCUUCUUUUGUCCUUUUUUUAAAAAAAAAAAAUCACUGACACCCACUUUCUUCUCCACUAUAUGUGAGGCAACGCUCGACUCCCACAACGUCUUCAUUAUCCCACACUCUCAGUUUAUUUUCUCAGGUGACUGUAUUGCACACACUGGCUCCCUCAGAUGCUCUUUAUUAAGCUCCUGGAAUCGGCCGCCACUUACAUUCUGAGUAAGAGCGUGCGUGUUUGAGGUUUAAAAAGACAAGAUAAUAAAAAAGACAACUGUGCUCAAAGAUGGGAAGAGGGAUUAUGUGACUGCCUCCGAGCUAAAUAUCUCCAAGGGAGGAUCAUGCUGACAGAAGUAUUUAUAUUUUUCCUUUAGAAAACCACAAAUUGACCCUAGUUCUUCGUUGCUUUGUAACGUUACUUCAGUUGCAUUUCUAAAAAUUGGUCAAUUUGAAAAAAAAGUUUUGAAAAGCAGCCUGCCAUUUUGCGAAAAGGGAAUAAAAACAAAAUUGUUUAAGGCACAGUUUCAGUUUAAUGGGUGUGUACACACUUCACAAAUACAUGCAGGAUUUGUGACCACUCAGUGAGGAGAUUUUCUUUUACUAGCAUUCGGUGUUCCAACAGUCAACAUAACAUUCAUCAUUAGGGUAAAUUAAAACCACAUAAACGUAGCUCUAAUGACAUUUCGACAUCUUAGGCACCAGUAGGUAGGUAGUGUCUUACUUUUAGAUAGUAAACCUUCAUAGAAGGCAUUUGAAUUUGAUGUGGAAAAAAAAGCAUCUAAUCCAAAUAUGCAGCCAGAGUGGUAUGAUAACACAGCAUAGUUAAAAAAAAAAAAAAAAAAGUUAAAAAAAAUGUACGUAGCAUGUCAAGUUUAAGCUUUAGUGGCUCACCAAACACAUAAACACAUGCAAGAACAAAUUAAAUAAUGCAUCCUAGUAA